CCUAGUAACUGCGAGUGAAGCGGGAAAAGCUCAAAUUUAAAAUCUGACAGCUUUUAGCUGUUCGAGUUGUAAUCUAGAGAAGUGCUAUCCGUGCUGGACCGUGUACAAGUCUCCUGGAAUGGAGCGUCAUAGAGGGUGAGAAUCCCGUCUUUGACACGGACUCCCAGUGCAUUGUGAUGUGCUCUCAAAGAGUCGAGUUGUUUGGGAAUGCAGCUCUAAAUGGGUGGUAAAUUCCAUCUAAAGCUAAAUAUUGGCGAGAGACCGAUAGCGAACAAGUACCGUGAGGGAAAGAUGAAAAGAACUUUGGAAAGAGAGUUAAACAGUACGUGAAAUUGUUGAAAGGGAAACGCUUGAAGUCAGUCACAUUGACUGGGGAUCAACCAUGCUUUUGCUUGGUGUAUUUCUUAGUUGAUGGGCCAGCAUCAAUUUUGAUCAGUGGAUAAAGGUUGAGGGAAUGUGGCAUCUCYGGAUGUGUUAUAGCCCUUGAUUGUAUACAUUGGUUGGGAUUGAGGAACUCAGCAUGCCGCAAGGCCGGGUUUUUAACCACGUUCGUGCUUAGGAUGCUGGCAUAAUGGCUUUAAUCGACCCGUCUUGAAACACGGACCAAGGAGUCUAACAUGCCUGCGAGUAUUUGGGUGGUAAACCCAUGUGCGUAAUGAAAGUGAAGAUCAGGAUCUCUGUCGUGGAGAGCACUGAUGCCCGGACCAGACCUUUUGUGACGGAUCUGCGGUAGAGCAUGCAUGUUGGGACCCGAAAGAUGGUGAACUAUGCCUGAAUAGGGUGAAGCCAGAGGAAACUCUGGUGGAGGCUCGUAGCGAUUCUGACGUGCAAAUCGAUCGUCAAAUUUGGGUAUAGGGG
rnacentral:rRNA from 1 species